AGCGAACGCUGGCGGCAGGCCUAACACAUGCAAGUCGAGCGCCCCGCAAGGGGAGCGGCAGACGGGAGAGUAACACGUGGGAACGUGCCCUUUGGUUCGGAACAACCCAGGGAAACUUGGGCUAAUACCGGAUAAGCCCUAACGGGGAAAGAUUUAUCGCCGAAGGAUCGGCCCGCGUCUGAUUAGCUAGUUGGUGGGGUAAUGGCCCACCAAGGCGACGCUCAGUAGCUGGUCUGAGAGGGUGAUCAGCCUCACUGGGACUGAGACACGGCCCAGACUGCUACGGGAGGCAGCAUUGGGGAAUAUUAGACAAUGGGUGCAAGCCUGAUCCAGCCAUGCCGCGUGGGUGAUGAAGUCCCUAGGGUUGUAAAGCCCUUUCGGCGGGGAAGAUAAUGACGGUACCCGCAGAAGAAGCCCCGGCUAACUUCGUGCCAGCCGCCGCAGUAACAC
rnacentral:rRNA from 1 species